rnacentral:lncRNA from 1 species
CCCGCGCUCCUCCGGGCAGAGCGCGUGUGGCGGCCGAGCACAUGGGCCCGCGGGCCGGGCGGGCUCGGGGCGGCCGGGACGAGGAGGGGCGACGACGAGCUGCGAGCAAAGAUGUGCCCCGGGACCCCCGGCACCUUCCAGUGGAUUUCCUUGCGGAAAGGAUGUUGGCGGUCCCUGUGACCUGUGGAGACACGGCCAGAUCUGCCCUCCAGACCAUAGCUGUCUGCAGUGCAGGAAGCCAACUAUUAAGGGGAAACAAAAGUGUUCUUAGGAGUCCUGCUGUCACUGUGGAUUGAGCCGGUGAAGCCCUGAGGGAUUUCAUCGCUGAGGUGGAUGGAGAAGCAGCUGGGGGCCUUGGCUGUAAGGACCCCUAAGGGCCUGAUCUUUUGGCCAGAAGGAGAUUAAAAAGAUGCCCCUCAAGAUGGCUGUGCCUGUCAGCUGCAUGGAGCUUCGUUCAAGUAUUUUCUGAGCCUGAUGGAUUUACAGUGAUCUUCAGUGGUCUGGGGAAUAACGCUGGUGGAACCAUGCACUGGAAUGACACACGCCCGGCACAUUUCAGGAUACUAAAAGUGGUUUUAAGGGAGGCUGUGGCUGAAUGCCUCAUGGAUUCUUACAGCUUGGAUGUCCAUGGGGGACGAAGGACUGCAGCUGGCUGAGAGGGUUGAGAUCUCUGUUUACUUAGAUCUCUGCCAACUUCCUUUGGGUCUCCCUAUGGAAUGUAAGACCCCGACUCUUCCUGGUGAAGCAUCUGAUGCACGUUCCAUCCGGCGCUCAGCUGGGCUUGAGCUGACCAUACUCCCUGGAGCCUUCUCCCGAGGUGCGCGGGUGACCUUGGCACAUACAGCCAUCAUGAUGGUACUUUAAGUGGAGGCUGAAUCAUCUCCCCUUUGAGCUGCUUGGCACGUGGCUCCCUUGGUGUUCCCCUUUUACUGCCAGGACACUGAGAUUUGGAGAGAGUCUCACUCUGUGGUCCAGGCUGAAGUACAGUGGCAUGAUCCCAGGUCACUGCAACCCCCACCUCCCGGGUUCAAGUGAUCCUCCUGCCUCAGCCUCCCGAGUAGCUGGUAUUACAGGCGUGUGCCACAAAGCCUGGCUAAGUUUUGUAUUUUUAGUAGAGACGGGGUUUCACCAUGUUGGCCAGGUUGGUCUCGAACUCCUGACCUCAAGUGAUCCACUCACUUUGGCCUUUCAACGUGCUGGGAUUACAGGCGAGAGUCACCGCACCCGGACGACUCUGACAUUUUUGAAGAGUCCAGAAUCCUGUUACACCUGGGAUUUAGGCACUUUCAAUCUGAAAAAAUACAUAUCCUUUCAGCACUCUGGACGGACUUGAGAACUGUCCUUACGUGACCUAAAGCUGGAGUAUUUUGAGAUUGGAGAAUUAAGAGUGUGGGCACCCUGGCUUCAAGCUCACGAGAAACCAGAAGGAAGUCACUGUGCAUAGCCAUCCCCUAAGAAGAGGGCAUUCCUGCUCUUCCUUCUCCAUGGCUAGAGGAUCUACAUGAACUAUUUAGAUUUUUUCUACCUGGGAGAUUUAACUCCUCUCUCCUAUUUAUUUAUUUAUAUAUCAGCAUGGACUUGCAGGCCAACAGAGAUUUUGAGAAACACAUUGAAGGAUCUGUUAACACUUGAUAUACCCAAUAAAAGCAGUGGUUGUGCCAGUGCUGAUCUGUCUUGAUGUGAAUGUGAACAAUGGGAACCUGAGCUGAGCAGUUAAUGCUAGGGUGACAGAAACUGGACCUCUCCCAAGACAUGUGACAGAGUAAUACAGCAGCCAACUUCUUCGCCAAAUUAAAGUUUUACAAGAUUUAACCUGUCAUCAAGACCUGGGAUUUUGGUGAGCCAGUCUUGGUGCUCUGUGUUCACCUGGUUCAUCUGAGGAGCUGCAUCUACCCUGCCCAUGCCAUAGAUCCUGCCCUGUUUGCUUCUCCUGUUGCUGCUAGUGGACAUGAGGUAACCACAGCCUAGUUCUGUGAUAAGCUCUUCACACCUGUACCCAUAUGGACUGUGGGAGAGUUUCUCUGAUAUGGACUGUGAUGCGGGUCACCCGAUAUAGAAUCACACACCUGGGAGAUGGCACCAGCCAGUGAGGCUCAAAUUUGAACCACACACAAAUCUCCAGGGGUACUUGAUCUUGGACAUGAUACCUGGAUGUGCAGCAGCCAUCUGGUAAUUAUGAGGUGACAAGUCAAUAGACUGAGAUGGUGGAGCAGCAAAGAUAGAAAAGAAGGACAGAAUAACGGGCUCCCAGAUUCACAAGCCCCACCAAGAGGAUCACCCCAGGAACGCUUGGAGGCUGAGGAGUUCACUGAGGCUACUGCAUCUUGAGACUCAGGAUGAAGACCCAGCUUGGGGCUGUCAAAGGUUUUUUGCAUGUCUGACACCCAUGACUCCACCUGGACCUUAUGGCUCCACCCAGAAGCAAUUCAGCCCAACAGGAGGACAGCUUCAACCCAUUACGAUUUCAUCUCUGCCCCAACCACUCAGCAGCAAGCACCUGUUACCUGUCCACCCCCACCCCUUCCCCCAAACUGCCUUUGAAAAAUCCCUAACCUAUGAGCUUUGAAUAAGAUGAGUACGAACUUCAUCGCCCACGUGGCGUGGCCGGCCUCGUGUCUAUUAAAUUCUUUUUCUACUACAA